rnacentral:rRNA from 1 species
UCGGGAAUUUUGGGCAAUGGGCGAAAGCCUGACCCAGCAACGCCGCGUGAAGGAUGAAGUAUUUCGGUAUGUAAACUUCGUAAGAAUAGGAAGAAUAAAUGACGGUACUAUUUAUAAGGUCCGGCUAACUACGUGCCAGCAGCCGCGGUAAUACGUAGGGACCAAGCGUUGUUCGGAUUUACUGGGCGUAAAGGGCGCGUAGGCGGCAUGACAAGUCACUUGUGAAAUCUCUGGGCUUAACCCAGAACGGCCAAGUGAUACUGUCACGCUAGAGUGCAGAAGGGGCAAUCGGAAUUCUUGGUGUAGCGGUGAAAUGCGUAGAUAUCAAGAGGAACACCUGAGGUGAAGGCGGGUUGCUGGGCUGACACUGACGCUGAGGCGCGAAAGCCAGGGGAGCAAACGGGAUUAGAUACCCACGUAGUCCCUGAGCGGGCUGGCAAGGCGCAU